GUGUGCUGAGUGUCAAUGAAGGGGAUGUCCAUCUGGGACGUUGCUGGAGCUAAGAAAGAGAUCCAAACAUCAUAGUCAUCCACAGUGCAUAAAGUUUGUGGUUAAAUAUUUGGUUUAGUUUCCUCAAAAGCAGAAAAUAGAGACAAGGAUCUGAGUUUAAAUAUCUUCUUUGGUUAAGGAUCUGGGAAACACCGGUAAGGUAGUCAGUGUUGGACACAUGCCUCAGAGUUACUCCAUCAGGAGAGAGGGAGCAGUGGUCUUUAGCCACCCACUCUGUCAGUCAUUGGGUGAGAACUGCUCCCAGGGGGCGUUAUUGGAGACAUUUCGACCCUGUGACAAAGUCCUAGUCCGGGGACUGUGAGCUCAGUGGACUGUGAAGCCCUCAGGCGGAGUCUCAGGUGCUGGCAGCCGGAACUCAGCAGCUGCAGGAAAGGCCAGGGCCACAGACAGGGUCCGCUGCUGCGUGAGUCAGGCUCUCCAGAGAAGCGGAACCGGAAGAACCAACACGUGAAGGGAGUAGAGGAGAUCUACUGCAGGAACUGGCUCACGCACUUCCGGAGGCUGAGUCGUCCCACCACCUGCCAUCUGCAAGCUGGAGAGCCAGAGAGCCAGCAGAGCCGGUGGUGUCCUUCAGCCUGAGGCCUGAGGCCUGGGACCAGCCCAGUCGGCCAGUGUCAUGCCCGGAGUCUGAAGGCCGAGAACCAGGAGCUCUGAGCUGAGGGCAGAAGAUGGACAUCCUCGCUCAAGAAGGGGGGUGGGGGACGGCCCGGUGGCUGCUGCAGGGGUCAAGUUCGCCCUCUCGGCUUUGGCGCCUGGGGUUCUCUGGGUCAGAUCCCAGGCUCGGACCUACGCACUGCUCAUCGCGCCAUGCUGUGACAGGCGUCCUACAUAUAAAAUAGAGGAAGACGGGCACAGGUCUUAGCUCAGGGCCAGUCUUCCUCAGCAAAAAGAGGAGGAUUGGCGGCAGAUGUUAGCUCAGGGCUAAUAUUCCUCAGAGAAAAAAAAAGAAGAGAGAGAGGGCAUUCAUCCUUCCUCCACUGUUUUGUGCCUUUGGGGCCCUCAGUGGAUUGGAUGGUGCCCGCACACAUUAGUGAGGGCCAUCACUUUACGUAGUCUACUCAAGCAAAAGCUAAUUUCUUCAGAAACACCCUUGCAGACACACCCAGAAACAAUGUUUUACCUGGGUAUCCCUUAGGCCAGUCAAGUUGACACAUAAAAUGAACCAUCACAGCAACAUAGGACAUGCAAACUGUUCACAUUGCUGCAUACGAAGCAAUCAUUAAUACAAGAAUAAUCCUGUUAAUUUUUUGGUGAUCCGAAAGUCACAAUUUGAGACAUUUACAUUUUAACAUGAACAUUGUUUAUUACAUUUGGGCUUUUCACUGUGUAGUGUUGCAUUUUAGGAAAAGCUUAAGCAUUGACCGGUAGCCGUUACAGUUUUUCCCUUUCAAAACAAUGGCAAACAGGACCGGUUGUGUUUGUGGCAUUUAACACUGGAUUUUCAGGACUGGCGUACUCAUGUUCAGAGGGAGACGCCUAUUUAUAAGCAAAUGCUAUAUUCUAGGUCAGAUCUCAUCUGGAAAAAGACACCAUCCACGUGCACCUUAGUAGGUGGCAAGUGCUUCACUGAAGAGCCUGCGAGGAGCUGUCAGCGAGGAGCAGAGCUGAGGGAGGAGGGGGCGUGGCUGGGGGCGGGGCGUGGGUGUGCUUCCCACGCUCCCCGCAGUGUAGUCACAGCACCCUCUUUAUUGAGCUACCCUUCACUAGCGGACAUCUAAACUUGUCUUUUCCUGAAACGUCCCUGGAACCACGCUCAUAUGACCACGGGAACUGUUUACUAAACAACUUUGUCCCAUGAACUUUUACAAUAAAUCAGAGAUGAAGACACAGCAAUUUAUCAGCUACUGAGUAACGUUGUAACAAAUCCUUAGUAAGCCAUUUAUGAAAGAUCUUUCCCAACAAUGCAUUCAUUAAAUAAACAUCAAAACAGGAGAUAUUUUUCUUUUUCCCAUGGUCUCAAACCCUUGUACCAACGCGGAACACGUGAAGGACGUGUCCCACCCUCACUAGCUGCCGGCUGCCCGGCAGCGCUUCUCCCCGAGGCCGCAGGGCCCACGGCGUGAGGACAUCUCGAGUUGGCGGAGGGGCU
rnacentral:lncRNA from 1 species